AGAAAGAAAAUCAGAGAGAGAAAGAUAAAGGGAAGAAGACAGAGAUUGCUUCCGCUGAUUUACUCCUCAAGUGCCUGUAACAGUAGUGACAGGAUUAGGAUGAGGCCAGGAGUGAGGAACUCAGCGAUGGCUCAGUGGGGAACGGGGAGCUGACUGCCUGGGUGAAUUCACAGCCUUCCAGGGUGCGCAUUUGCAGGAGCCUAGAAUGGACAGUGGAGCCUGGAUCAAAACCCAGGCACUCCAACAGCAGAUGCAGAUAUCCUAAGUGGUGCUUGUUUUCCCCCUAAGAUUUAUUUGUUUAACUUGAAAGUCAGAGUUACAGAAAAAGAGAGAGAGAGAGAGAAUCUUCCCUCUGUGGGUUCAUUCUCCAAAUGGCCAAAAUAGCCAGAGCUGAGAUGAUCCAAAGCUAAAAACUGGGAACUUAUUUCAGAGCUCCCAUGUGAGUACAGGGACCCAAGACUUGAGCCAUCUUCUGCCUCUUUCCCAAGUCUCAAGCAUGGAGCUGGAUUGGAAAAUGAAGCCGCCAGGACUUGAACUGACACCCAUAUGAGAUGCUGUUGCUACAGGUGGAGGAUUAGUCUGAUAUGCCACUGCGCUGGUUUCCUAAGUGAUGUUUUUAAUAGCUACACGCAACACUUGCCCCUUUUCCACUUUUUCAACAGGAAUUGUCUUCUCCUGCUUGAACCUACUGAAGAGAAUUCGAAAGUAGGUUCUCUCUGGUGUUACAGAGAAUAAAGAUAGGUCUAGGGCAGGAACCUGGAUC